rnacentral:rRNA from 1 species
UAAGACAGAGGUGCCAAGCGUUAGGCGGAAUCACUGGGCUUAAAGCGUGUGUAGGCGGACCCGUAAGUACCUUGUGAAAUCCCACGGCUCAACCGUGGAACUGCUCGGUAUACUGCGGGUCUUGAGCUGCUUAGGGGUCGUCGGAACAAACGGUGGAGCGGUGAAAUGCGUAGAUAUCGUUUGGAACGCCAACGGUGAAAACAGACGACUGGGAGCACGCUGACGCUGAGACACGAAAGCCAGGGGAGCGAACGGGAUUAGAUACCCCGGUAGUCCUGGCCCUAAACGAUGUCGACUAGGUCGUGGCGCCUCUGACGGCGUCGCGGCCGAAGCAAAAGUGCUAAGUCGACCGCCUGGGAAGUACGGUCGCAAGGCUA